GAACAAGUGGGAUUCUCAACCCUGCAAGAAGCAGAAACAACAAUAACCCACCCUGGCCCUUCCUCACCAGGACUUCCAAAGUAAGGCAAGGGCAAACUAAGGAAGCAUGUACAGAAUUCCCACACUUUGGAGUUGGUGCCAUUUCCUAUUCAGGCCACUGGAACUGGGAAAUCUUAUUCCCAGGUCUCACGAGGAGAAGCAGCUUGAAGCAAACACAGGAACCCCAGCAAAUCUGAAUCUUUCCACCCAAUCAAUAAAACCUUAC